UACGGAGGGGGCGAGCGUUGUUCGGAAUCACUGGGCGUAAAGAGUGCGUAGGCUGUUAUACAAGUCAGGAGUGAAAUCCCAGGGCUCAACCUUGGAAUUGCUUAUGAGACUGUAUGACUAGAGAUCUAGAGAGGUUGGGGGAAUUCCGAGUGUAGAGGUGAAAUUCGCAGAUAUUCGGAGGAACACCAGUGGCGUAGGCGCCCAACUGGCUAGAUACUGACGCUGAGGCACGAAAGCGUGGGGAGCAAACAGGAUUAGAUACCCUGGUAGUCCACGCCGUAAACGAUGUGUGCUAGUUGCUGGAUGGCUUAGCCUUUCAGUGACGCAGCUAACGCAUUAAGCACACCGCCUGGGGAGUACGGUCGCAAGAUUAAA
rnacentral:rRNA from 1 species